GGGCCAUUAGCUCAGCUGGCUAGAGCGCUACGUUGACAUCGUAGAGGUCAGUGGUUCAAGUCCACUAUGGCCCACCA
rnacentral:tRNA from 1 species